AUUAUUCAACAUUUCCUAUGGCCUAUGAGUUCAACUCAGAUUUUAUAAUACUUUAUUUUAUAUACUAAAUAUGUCUUAACAGAUACUUAGUGAAAGAUGGGAUAAUUGACAGAUAGGAAAAGGGAAUGAGAAAAUCACAGUUUAGUAAAAUAAAGUUUCACAUAACUAUAUCAAUAUUAGGUCUUACAUUAAAAGGAAAGCUAUAUUUAGGAUGUCUAUUACAUACUAUCAUUGAUAUGAGUCAUUUCCCUUUGAUUCAAGCAACCCAAACCCUAGCUUCUUAUUUUAGCAUAUAAUCUGCACAAACCAGCAUAUUUUACAUCUCAGUUCUGUCCUUUUAGGUUCCUCAAAAAAAAACUCAUCUUAUGUUAGUCCUGUCAGUGGGAUUUUAAAUCCAAUAAUGAGAAUAGCUAAUACCAAAUAUCAUAUAUUAGAACAAUUUUACUUUUGACAAUAAAGUUGAAUUCAGUUAAAAUUUGCAGACAUUGCAAAAGGAAAAGUGAAGGAGUCUUGCAUCUUAAUUAACAAAACAAAAUGACCUGGACUGAGAUGAACACACACCCAGACACGUCAGAUAUCCAGACACACACAGACACUCCACACAUAUGCAGACACAUAAAAACACACAGACACACAGAGACAUACACACAAACACAGCAACACACACACAGAGAAUCAUGCAGACAUGUACACACUCACCUGCAACAGUGAGUGGUUUUCACAUCUCCUUUAUAGCAAUACCGAUUAUCUAGUACUUUCUUCGGCACAGUAGCCCAUUUUAUGUUCAAAAGUGAAAGGAAAAAGUUGCCACCUAGUUUACUUCAUUUAAGUUUCCAGGGUCUUUCUUAUCAACCUUAAUAGUCACCUCCUCUGCCAUCCUCUUCCAGUGAGGGCUCUAUCCUGUUAGGCAUGAUCACUAUUUGGGUCUUCUUCUCUGGCUUGAGCUUCUGCUAUGUCACCUUAUCAGUGUGUCACCUUAUUGGCUCCUGGAUGGCGCCAACUGAUGAUGGUGUAAGAACAUAAUUAUACCAACUCUUUAAGGGAGACUUCCCAGGAAAUGACUUUGGAAAUCAAUCAGAAGUGAUUAACCAAAGGGAUCACAACUUGUCUCUGGUCCAGCCUUAGCUAACUGUUAGUUACACAAUGUGCUAAAUUUGGAGCCCAAGUGGUUAAAAGCGAGUUCGGUGUUUCCAACUAAUCAAUAAGGGCAGAUGCAUUUACUGAGCAUCUAUCCAAAGCUCUAGGAAUGGAGGGAUACAAAGACGAGUGGUCUAUAUGCCCCCAUCAAGAGUUUAAUAAUUAAUGGGACAAAAAAGGCAUUGUAAACCCUCACAAUGAAAUCAUCAUGAAAACACAAAGGCUAAAGUACUGGAAGACCAAGAGAAAGAAACCACUGCUGAAGUCAAAAACUACAUGAUGACUGCAAAGAAGUUUUCUCACAAAGCUAUUCAAUAGAUUAAAUGUUUUACACAGUCUAGAAAGGUUUCAGAAUAUUGUAUAAGAUUUAAUCUGGGUCCAGUGGAUUUGUUGGAAAACAAUGAUUGUUACUUUGUCAAGUAAGGUAUAUAGCAUUUGCAAGUAGAGUAUAUCCCAAUUAAACUAGGAUUCUUUAGGGUUCCACACACUCCAAAAAGUAAAAUCUUUAUUCAACCAUCAGGUGGAAUCAAUCCAGGUUUUGUUAAACCACUGUAUCCAAGCAGUAGAGAUACUUUUAAACUUGGGAAUUUUUUAAGUUGAAUAAAAAUUAUCCAUGUUUGUGCAUGUUUGUGCAUGUAUACAAAUAUGGUUUCAUAUAGUAAUAUAUAUGUGGCUUCUAACAUUAAUACUUCCCUCCAAUAAGACUGCUGGUACUUCUUAAAUCAUGUGGACAACAGAAUAGUCUCCAUUAUGGCACAAUUUGGACCACUCUGUGUGCCCCAGGUCAUCUACCCUGAAAUCACACAUUCAUUCAACAAAUAUUACUGAAGACCUACUGGUCUGGCCCUCAGUCUGGAUACAUGUGAAAAAAAAAAUUAGUAACAAAAAAAGACAAAACUCUCUGCCCUCACGGAGCUUAUAAUUAGCUAUAAACAUAGCUGAGAAGCAAGUUUUAUGAUAAGCUAGAGGGUGGUAACCUGGGAAAAAAUAUGGCAAUGGUGAGGCGAUGUGGAAUGCCGGGCUUCCGGGGACUGAUGGGAAAAGAGCACAGGGGAGGAAAGCCUUCACGAAGGUUCAAGAGAACCCGGACAGACAGCUCCCAGCCUUUUGAAUGGAAAAACAUCUACUUGAUGCCUUAAGAACUGAAGGAGAUUACAUCACAGCCCAGAAAAGGAACCACUGAAGAGAGAAGAGGAAACAUCAAGGCUCUAAAUCCCCAGGCCAUUCUGUUGUCAGUGGGUUCUCAGUGGCCAUUGCCCCUUCCACCCUGUGGCUGCCCCUCUCUCAGGAGCCCUGGCUGCCAGGACACCUCCUUCUACUGUUUCAGGAGGUCCCAUUCCCUGUAUUUAACCCCCCUAGAGGAAGACAGGAUGAUGUUGUCAAUUAUUAUGCAGAGCAAAAUAGCUCUUGUUUCUCCAAAGAUAUCUAAAUUACCUAUGUCAGGAAACCCUGUCUCUCAUUACCAGAUGGACCAAUUAAGAUAUCUUCCUUAAGCCUAUUAAUGGACACUUGAAGCACACUUUUUAAAAUAACCAUUUCCCUUUCUCAUUACAGUGUAACUCAGAAAUAUCUACUAUACUGUAAUUAAUUGUUGGAUUUUCCACUUCCCUCAUUAGAAAGCAAGAUCUUUGAAGUCAGGCACUGUGGUUUAUUCAUUAUUGUUUCCCUGAUAUGAAACCUAUUUGACCCUAUCUCAUAUCAUUCAUAAAAAUUAAUUCCAGGUAGGUCAUAGAUCUAAAUGUGAAUGGAAAACAAUAAAAUUCUAAAAGAGAAUACAGGGAUAUCUUCAUGAACUUGGAGUGGGUAAAGAGUUCUUAAAAAGAAGACCAAAAGCAUUGAGCAUAAAGGAAAAGCUUAUAAAUUGGCCUUUAUUAUAAUUAGGAAUUUCAUCAAAAGAUAUCAUUAACAGAGAGAAUGAGCAAGCCAGACUGGGAGAAGAUAUUUGCAAUACAUAUGGAACCAAGGACUUAUGUCCAGAAUAUAUAAAGAAGUUCUAUAAAUCAAUAAAAAAAGACAAUCCCAUAGAAAUGUACCCUAAAGAAUUGAACAGCCACUUCAUAAAAGAGCUGUCCAGUCAAUAUACACAUGAAAAAGUACCCAGCAUGUCACCCCCAGGGAAAUACAGCCUAAACUCAAAUUAGAUCCCAGGAUGCAUAAACCAGCCAGAAUUACUAAAUGAGGCUAACAUUGGCAGGCAGUGGGGGAGAUGGCGGCAGCCUGAACUCUCAGCCACUGUUGGUGGAAGCAUCCACGUGUGCCAUGUGCUAAAAUGGAGCAUACACAUGCAGUGUCACCCAGCAAUUCUACUGCUAGGAACAUCGCCAGCCAAAAUGAGGACAAAUGUUCACCAAAAGAUAUCUACAAGAAUCUUUAUUGUGCCAGAAUUCACAGCAACUACGAGGGUGGAGCACCAACGCAUCUAAAGAGCAGAAUGAAAAAAUACUUUGCGGUAUACUAUAAAAAAGAACGGGAUAGCUUCCUAACAAUUUUAAAUGCAAAAACUCAUCUCAAGUGUUAAAAACAGGUGAGUGGAUGCCUUGGUGAGGCAGUGAUGGGCAUGGGAAGGACCCAGGAGUGGUCGUAGUAUUUCACAUCCUGAUCUGGGUGGUGGUGACUCCGACACAUUUGCUCUAGUGAAAAUUCUUCACUCUGAGCACUUCAAGUGGGCACAUUUCUUUGAUUUGUGCCCUUUCCAGCAUAUGAGUUGCACUACACUAAAACUCACUGAAAUUAUUUAUGUCCAACGGUUUGGACUCUAGAAUGUUUUUCUAAAUAAAUGGCAAUACCCUGAGCAACCAACUGAGCUGGAUGUUAGCAAAACAGAACUUGGCAACCUCCAUCCGUGAACAAGAACAGUCUGCACAUUCCAACCCUCCGUGGGAUGGAGUGAAGAUUCCGGGGCUGCUAGUGUGCCAGUGUGAGUACUUCUGCAUGGUCACAGCUCGUGUCUUAGUGAGGUGGUGUAAGACUGCCUUUUGCCCCUCCCAUGGCUAAUAUAAAUGCUUACAUUAAAGACUGCAUUGCAGCAGUGAAAGGUGUGCUGGUAUCUCAGGUUGGCUGUGAGCUACAAUGGGCCUUAUAAUGUUUACCAGUCACUGCACACUUUAGUCAUUAAUUUGCCCAGCACUUGGAGCUAUCUCAAGUAUAAAAAGUGCUAUAUGAGCCAAAAUUCUAUCCCCUUCUUUAUUAAUCAUAUUUGAUUAAUAUCAUUUGAAAUAUCAUUAAAUAAUUUUAAUGCAGGUGUGUGGAUUAAAGCUAUUCUAGAGCAUCCUGACAUAAACAUUGACAAAUUACAUGCAGGUUUAAGUUUGCACAAGUGAUUAAUCAUUAAUCUGCUAUUCUACAGUUGAAAUUAAUUAUUACACUCAUAUUUACAUGACUGGUUCAGAUAUGUCCAACUAUUAACACAGUGCCAUUUGCCCCAAAUCAUUUUUAAACACAAUAUUAUAUAUUUAAUGUACAACAAGGACAGAGAACAAGAGAAAAUCAGAUCAGAGCUCUAAUUUCACAUGUCUUACAUUCAGGUUUAGCUGGUUAACUUUUCUUAACUGCUGAGGUGAUUAAAAUGUUUUAUUUGUUCUGUCCUCACAGAAGUUUAAUAGGAGAAUAUCACUGCUAUAAUUAAGUGGACCAGGGUGUACUUCCUCCAAUUUUAGCUGUAAAUAUCAUCACGAUUUACUUACACACAAUGUAUUUGGAUUUUCCAUCUUUUCUCAUAGGAAUGAAUACAGAGGAAGCUUUGAGGAGGUUACACAUGCCUAGUGGGAAAAAUCCAAGGACCAGAGGCCUGAGAAUCAUGUGGAGAUGAUUUGUUCUGUCUCCCUGCUGCUGGGAGGGCUCACCUGAACCAUUUCAGACAGGUGGAUAUGUAUCUUGCUCUCCAGCUCAUAUCUGGUUGGUGUAGCACCCCAAAUGCUAGCUGUCCUAAAACUGGAGACUCAAGGCAAAGUGAUCCAUCCCUCUGUGGGCCACUAGUGCCAAAGCCAGCACCUCUCAGCCACCUCCUGAGACACCUGCCUGAGGCCUGCUUCCUAGUCACCUGCCUUCAUGUCUCUGACAUUCAGACCAGGAUGACAAGUGUAUCUCUUAUGCCUAUAAAUGAGGUAGACCUUUCAACUCAAUGUCUCUGGUGGAAGUAGCCUGGGUGUGACCCUGUGAGCUCAUGGUCUGCUGAUCUGACUGCUUUUCUAGGUUUCCGCACCACCAGGUGAGAACCAAGGCCCCCAGGUAUUCCGAGAGUGUGUUCUCAGUCUAUUUCACGCUUCUCCUCCAGGCCCACAUCUAACAGGUCACACAUGUCUGGGCUACUCUGAGAGGCAUCACUGGAGCUCUCUCAUCAAAGACUCAGAGGCAUACAGCAAAGAAGCUGACUGACUGUCUACUGAACUAGUCCCAGCAGCCACGAGCCGUCCACAGGCUGUCUUCCCUGGGCACGUGUGGGCUUCUGAAGCGCAUCUUCCCUGGGCACAUCACUGCCUCAUGGAAAGGCCUUUCCCCACUGCAGGGGAAAGAUCAAGGGUAGUCCCCUAGGCCUGGCCAGGCUGAUGGUGUCAGGGACAGACGCCUCACCCGACCUGAGCUAUCACAUCCCACUUUUGGGAUUUGGAGCUGAAACUAAGAAAAUUCCAUCUGUCUCUCUGGAAGGUUAAAACUGUGAGAGGCAAACAAGAACCAGAAGAUAGCCAGAUCCUGUUAUACAAAGCAGCAAAACAGGACAGGGGAAAGAAACAGAGACAGAGACACAAAGAUAAAGAAGUAGCCGUGUGGCGAAGCAGGAAUGAGAACCAGCACCUUCUUCAAGCUUCUCUUCAUUCCUGCUCAGCAGUUCUGAGAUGUCCCAUGUCCUGUGACAAACUUCCACUUUAAGCUAAAUGUUUAUUUCUGUUGCCUGAAACUAAACACUCUGACCAACAAGAUGGUGAAGCCUGUGGCUGAGCUCUGUGUGCGGUAAUUGUCUCAUAACAGUCUUUAGCAUAGAUUCAAAUGCAAAAGGACCAAAAGCAAAACACUUCUAUGUAGUAAAGUCUAAUAAUUAAUUUUCUCCUGACCUAGAACCCAUAGGAAUUAGGAAGUGAUCUGCAGGAGCUGGCCAGCACUCUCCAGGUCACACACACAAGCAAGAGGAGUCAGGCGCCAGCAUCAGGCUCAGAGUGCUCAUCCUCGUGUACAGCACAGAACAGCUGUGCCCCCUUCCUGUCCCAAGUCUCAGCCACUGCUCGUGUUUGUGCUUGCAGUGUUGACCCAUUUGAGCUUUUUAACUACCUAAGACUAACCUUGCUCUCUGUAGUUCUUCUGUUCCAGUUAUGUGAAAUAAAUUUCAACCAUGUAUCCUAUAUGCAUUUAAGAUUCUAGAAGAACCCCUUAGAGGUUGACCCAACAAAUAAAUGACCUAGUAUUUGCAAGCCAUUGGAAUGCCUGGUGCACAGUAAGUGAUUAGUGAAGGCCUGCUUACUGCCUCCAGAACAUUCACACGCUUCUGGAUAUCUCUUUGCCUCUAGGUGGGGACAGGUCACCAUUUCUGGCUGAUGUGCCAGGAAGAAAUGGCAUGGAUUAUAGGUAGACUGACACCAAUAAGUGUAGCUCUGCAUUUUGCUAUGACUUUCUUUUCCCACCGUGCCACCGAGUUUUAGCACACGGGGGCUGCAGACUGUGGUGUGGGAGCAUUCACAGGACAUGGUUCUCCAGUAUCAGUGAGGGGCAAGGCCCUCAUCUGGCUUGUGUUGUACAGACAAGGGGCCAGAGGUGGGCCAUAAUCAUGUUAAGUCUCUACACAGUGAUAGCAUUGAGUAUUGAUAGCACAGAAUAAUGUCUCCCAUCAAGAAACAGCAAACAGUCUCACAACUUUUGCUUCCUAUGUACCAAACUGAGGCAGGGCAAUAUUUCAUUAAAGAGCAAAAUUACAAAGAAUCAGGUCCGAAUCUUGGAGCUUCACACAUGCUCUUCAUUUGGAGCACUUCGCCCUCCCUACUGAAAUCCUUAGCCAUCAGGGCAAACACAAGAGUAAGGGGUGGCCUCCUGAAAAGUGUCAGGUCUCCAAGAGCUCUGGACUCCUCCCUGUUUGCUGCAGGCUGGUAGCCUUGGGAUAGUGGACAUUAUGUCAACUGCAGGAGUUUCCCAUGUACAUAGAGAUGAGGAAAGUGGAGAUCAAGUGAAGGGACAUGUGUAACACCACAGUAUCUGGAAUGUUCCAUUCAUGUUAGCUACAGAGCUUGGUAAGCAGAUGGACGGGUGGCACUUGUGAGGUAGGCAGAUGUGAGCCCCAGUGCUGUGGCCGGGCCCAGGGGCAUUGCAUGGGGGAUGCUCACCCACAUGGACCAUCCCAGAGUGCUGCUGGCACUCACAUGGGUUUUGAUCACAGAAUGUCUUUGAGUCCCCUUGGACUUUGAGGGAAGUCCAGCAAAAGCGAGAAUAGUUUGAUUAUAAUUUGCCACAAGCACUAGCAGAGUCUGCCCAAAGAAGGUUUUAAGUUUAUUAUAGGAAGUGAAAGCAGAACAAGUCCAUAAAAAAAGGCUUUCUUUUGUAUUGUUUGUUCUGUUUGUUUUUGUGCUAGGCCUGUGAUUUUCCUGUUUGGCUUGGUUUAAAAAACCCUCCCAUUUGGUUAACGACAGAGAGGCUGCAGAGCGGGCAGGUCUGGCUUUCUUUGCAUGCCUCUGAAUGCAUAUAAUUUCUGGCUAUUUACAGGGAGCAAUGUCAAGGUUUAUGGGUGUGCUGAGAAAAAAAUGGCAGGAAUCUCAGCAAAGUGACAAACGGCCUAAUGGGGGCAGGUGAGCCAAAUGUCCUUGGCAAGGAAAUGCCUGGACCCUGACCAGAAACUGAAUUUUAGUGUUUCAGGUUUUGCUAAUCUGCAAGAGAAGGAUCCAGACUUGCUCUAAAAUAAAGACCAGGUUUCA